rnacentral:lncRNA from 1 species
CCACGCUAAGUUAUUUCUACUCCUAUAGGAAACCUGCUGGCUCUUUUUCAGUUUUAGGUUCCUGUCACAGUGGAUGAUCUGGGGUACAGUUCUGUCCAUGAGAGGGGCGGCCCUCCUUUGAUGGGCGUACAGGAGAUGCAAAGGAGUGACAUGACAGGUCUUUGUGAUCGUGAUGGUAGUGUGGCUGGGAGAUGAAGUGCACUGGAUGAAGAGGAGGAAGACGAGGAUGAUGAUGAAGGGUUGGUGGUACUUAGCGGUAUGGCUGCCCCCCAUGCUGGCGGACGAUGCCCACUGAGGAGG